CCUUCACCAACGGUAAAUAAAGAUGAAUUUAUGUUUGAUGUUCAUUCAAGCAUUUAUUUAACCUCUUUAGUAUGAAGAAACACUUGCUAUGGGAAACGUCUCAUGCACGUCCUCAGGGGCGCCUAACCUAGGAUUUCCUUUGCUGCUUAACGCAUUCUAUGUGUUAUCAUCAGCAAGUAAAACUUAUGUUUAUUUGAUUAUAAAACGAGUUACAUGGUCCUGGUGCAGGAUGUUGAAGAGAAGACAAGCAGCCGCAGGCAGCCCCUUAAUGGCUGGCCCGCAAGUUUUUAGGCCUUGGGUUGGGAGCGGCAGUAAGAAUUCAGAGCUUAUUUUAGUCGCAAUUAUUAUCUCAGCUUGCACUGGGCCUCUUGCGGUCUCAUGUAACGCCCGUAUUAUUCGCUUCUUUCGUCCUAUGCUCUGCAUGUUACCUGUGAGGUUUAGGACUCAUUAAUCUCUGGCCUCAAAUUUUCUUUUUUACCUGAAUGUGUGAUAUUUUUUUGAUCGCGCUCCCGUACCACUGAUGUUCACAGAUCGGUGGCUUGGCCUUUCCUGGUCUAUCUCGAUGUGGCUGUUGUCGUGCGACCUCCCUUGAUGCUUGGGCAAGGCUUCCCUGGCGCGAUGAGACUAAACUGCUAUCGAGCUCUGGCGCGCUGUGCCAGCGUUCCGGAUGAACGAACUUAGGGUUUCUUUGUCUUCCGCAGGUCGCUCCUGCUGCUGCUGGUAUCGGCUUGCUAGAUGGUCCGCUUCCCUUGGCUGGCAUGCAGGACUUCCCUCCAGGACCCCAUAGGUGGGUUGGAGCUCCAUGUCGCUGUGCGAAGGAUGGACAACGCUUUCAACAUCCCGCGUCUCUGUCUUACCCUGCCGGUUCCUCCCUCAGCUCAGGGAUGGAGAUGGCCGUAGGCGCCGCAACCUUUUCAGCCGGGGCCCACCUCACCAGCACUACCCCCUUCGGUCCAUUCCACAUGGGCUCUCCUACUUAGGUCGGUUUUAGUGUCCCGAUGUAUGGCUCUAGAAUAACCCAUAAAGGUGCUGUCGAGUGCUGAAUGAACAUCAAAGAUCGGCACUCAGUGGUACCAGCCCCGCUAGGCGUCUGGACCAGGUGCAUGUCCGCCCAGCUUCGGCCUGCAGAGCUAGUUCCCAACACCGACCCAGAGAUCGCCCUAGGAAUAGGAAUAGGCCUAUUCCCGGGGGUCUGGCCUAGGCCCUAACCAGAUGCUCCAGGGGCCAUUGGCUCCCUCCACCUGGCUUUCCCUCCAGGAUGCAGCUGCGACUGAGGUCUUUUUGGUUGGCGUACCAGCCAUGGCUGCAUGCGGACCUGGUGGACCUGCUGCACUGUGCAGCCUGCACAUCAUCCUUGCAGCCUGCACAUCAUCAGACGAUGUGCUCUUAUCUAUAUGAUAGCUUGGUUGUUGACCUGGCACCGAGGCCGAGAUAGUUGAACUGUCGGGGCAGCUGCUGAUAUGCCAUGCAGGCCGUGGUGGGUGCUUCAAUGUCGCGCACUAAUGGGAGGGCAACCCUUGCGAAUCCAUUUGGGUUCAG
rnacentral:lncRNA from 1 species